rnacentral:rRNA from 1 species
GACGAACGCUGGCGGCGUGCUUAACACAUGCAAGUCGAACGGAAAGGCCCUUCUUUUGUGGGGUGCUCGAGUGGCGAACGGGUGCUUAACACGUGAGUAACCUGCCCUUGACUUUGGGAUAACUUCACGAAACUGGGGCUAAUACCGGAUCGGAGCUCCUGCUGCAUGGUGGGGGUUGGAAAGUUUCGGCGGUUGGGGAUGGACUCGCGGCUUAUCAGCUUGUUGGUGGGGUAGUGGCUUACCAAGGCUUUGACGGGUAGCCGGCCUGAGAGGGUGACCGGCCACAUUGGGACUGAGAGACGGCCCAGACUCCUACGGGAGGCAGCAGUGGGGAAUAUUGCACAAUGGGCGGAAGCCUGAUGCAGCAACGCCGCGUGCGGGAUGACGGCCUUCGGGUUGUAAACCGCUUUCGCCUGUGACGAAGCAUGAGUGACGGUAAUGGGUAAAGAAGCACCGGCUAACUACGUG